rnacentral:rRNA from 1 species
UCUGCAGGUACCGUCACUCACGCUUCGUCCCUGCUGAAAGAGGUUUACAACCCGAAGGCCUUCAUCCCUCACGCGGCGUCGCUGCAUCAGGCUUCCGCCCAUUGUGCAAUAUUCCCCACUGCUGCCUCCCGUAGGAGUCUGGGCCGUGUCUCAGUCCCAGUGUGGCCGGUCACCCUCUCAGGUCGGCUACCCGUCGUCGCCUUGGUAGGCCAUUACCCCACCAACAAGCUGAUAGGCCGCGGGCCCAUCCUGCACCGAUAAAUCUUUCCACCCACCCCCAUGCGAGAGCAGGUCAUAUCCAGUAUUAGACCCAGUUUCCCAGGCUUAUCCCAGAGUGCAGGGCAGAUCACCCACGUGUUACUCACCCGUUCGCCGCUCGUGUACCCCGAAAGGCCUUACCGCUCGACUUGCAUGUGUUAAGCACGCCGCCAGCGUUCGUC